GGGCCGCUAGCUCAGUUGGCUAGAGCAGCUGACUCUUAAUCAGCGGGUCGAGUGUUCGAGUCACUCGCGGCCCA
rnacentral:tRNA from 1 species